GAACGCAGCAUGCACGUGCAGCCACUGCUGUCAUAUCAGACCAGGAACGUUGAAACAUUGUGAAAAACGGCCGAGAGACGUCUGUAAAUAAAGGACGGUGCAAACAAGGCAAGCCAAAGUCCAGGAAAAGAGCAGCAGGUCCCAAACAGGAUUCAUUAAACAGGAGUGAAAGUGUCUGAAGGCAGCAGUGCAGCAGAGCAGAGCCCAAGCUGUGCAUGUGUGUAGUUACACACUGAGGAAGAACUGGAGGUACAUGCUGUUUGUUUAUGUGAGAUGAGAAGAAGCUAAGUGGCUACCACAACCAACCAUAUCAGAUCUGCAAGAAUGAUAAAAGCCCCACACAUCAGGAGAUCAAAGGUGGCUGUGACAGGAGCACCCCAGGAUAGGACCCAUGAGGAGUCAUAGAAGAUGCUCACAGUCUGGGCGCUUCAGUUCUUCUUAGAAGAGCAGCUCCACUGGCCUGCUCUCCAUCAGAACAGACAAUCACAUGCACUGGAUCUACAGUAUCUGUAGGUCGAGUCUGUUGGAGGGAGAUAUGCUGACUGACACUUACUGAGAGCUGGAAUUCCCUCAGGACAAGAUGACUGUGUGCCUGCCAGUCCUCUGCCUACCCAUCUCCACUCCCUUGGGUUUAAAAGUCAUACUACAGACACUUCACCAAUGCUGUUUUCAUCUCAAAACUACCCAUCUCAUCAUCAUCAUCAUCAUCAUCAUCAAUGGAACCAUCUCUGUGCUACUGACAUCAAGUUUAAACUGGCUGCCAGUCUGUUGCUCAGCUGCCAUCCUUGAUGACCCGAUGGAGUGCAGCAGAGGGGAGCAUUUGGCCAUCACACUGGCCAAAGACAGCAUAGACAGGAACAGUAACCGCUCUACCACUGGAAAGCUGGAGGUGGACAUCUUUGAACUUGUGAGAGACAGUGAAUAUGAGAUUUGGGAAACGAGUAAGUACCACUGGGAUGAAAUCCCAAUUAAUUAGUAAGGAGAGAUUGUUGAUGUGUUUUUAUGUGUUGAAGGCUGUUGGUCAAUGUGUGUGAAAGUGUGCAGUCAGAAAUGUGCAGAGAGUAAUAAAUCUGAUGUUAGGUGCAGACAGUAAUCCCAGCCACAGAAAAGGGUCUCUUAUUUUAAACCCUGUCUGUCAAGUUAAUCUUGGCUUACUGCCCUCUUUUCACAAAAUUUCUGAAAUACUUUCUCUGGUGUAUAUGGAGAUACAUCUCCUGGGGAUUCUGUA